UGGUAAUUCUAGAGCUAAUACAUGCUAAAAACCCCGACUCCGGGAGGGGUGUAUUUAUUAGAUAAAAAACCAAUGCCCUUCGGGGCUCCUUGGUGAAUCAUAAUAACUUAACGAAUCGCAUGGCCUUGCGCCGGCGAUGGUUCAUUCAAAUUUCUGCCCUAUCAACUUUCGAUGGUAGGAUAGUGGCCUACCAUGGUAGCAACGGGUAACGGGGAAUUAGGGUUCUAUUCCGGAGAGGGAGCCUGAGAAACGGCUACCACAUCCAAGGAAGGCAGCAGGCGCGCAAAUUACCCAAUCCCGACACGGGGAGGUAGUGACAAUAAAUACUGAUACAGGGCUCUUUUGGGUCUUGUAAUUGGAAUGAGUACAAUUUAAAUCCCUUAACGAGGAACAAUUGGAGGGCAAGUCUGGUGCCAGCAGCCGCGGUAAUUCCAGCUCCAAUAGCGUAUAUUAAAGUUGUUGCAGUUAAAAAGCUCGUAGUUGAACCUUGGGCCUGGCUGGCCGGUCCGCCUCACCGCGUGUACUGGUCCGGCCGGGCCUUUCCUUCUGGGGAGCCGCAUGCCCUUCACUGGGCGUGCCGGGGAACCAG
rnacentral:rRNA from 1 species